AAAGACUCAAUUCCUGGGUUUUCGUGUCCUACGUUUGACUGUUCGUCUUAUAUGAUUUUUUUAAUUAGUAUUUUCAUUGUUGUUAAAUGAUAAAACAUAAAUAAUACUUUAUGUGUGACUUAUUUUUUUAAUUUUUUUUUCAUAAUUUUUUCAAAUAAAACGGACAGUCAAAUGUUGGACACAAAAACUCAGGAAUUGAGUUAUU
rnacentral:pre_miRNA from 1 species